ACUCCUACGGGAGGCAGCAGUGGGGAAUAUUGCACAAUGGGCGCAAGCCUGAUGCAGCCAUGCCGCGUGUGUGAAGAAGGCCUUCGGGUUGUAAAGCACUUUCAGUCGUGAGGAAGGUAGUGUAGUUAAUAGCUGCAUUAUUUGACGUUAGCGACAGAAGAAGCACCGGCUAACUACGUGCCAGCAGCCGCGGUAAUACGUAGGGGGCAAGCGUUAUCCGGAAUUACUGGGCGUAAAGGGUGCGUAGGCGGUUUAUCAAGUCAGGGGUGAAAGGCUACGGCUCAACCGUAGUGAGCCUCUGAAACUGGUGAACUUGAGUGUAGGAGAGGAAAGUGGAAUUCCCAGUGUAGCGGUGAAAUGCGUAGAUAUUGGGAGGAACACCAGUGGCGAAGGCGACUUUCUGGACUACAACUGACGCUGAGGCACGAAAGCGUGGGGAGCAAACAGGAUUAGAUACCCUGGGUAGGGCUCU
rnacentral:rRNA from 1 species